rnacentral:rRNA from 1 species
CGAGCGAACAGAUGAGAAGCUUGCUUCUCUGAUGUUAGCGGCGGACGGGUGAGUAACACGUGGGUAACCUACCUAUAAGACUGGGAUAACUCCGGGAAACCGGGGCUAAUACCGGAUAAUAUUUUGAACCGCAUGGUUCAAUAGUGAAAGACGGUUUCGGCUGUCACUUAUAGAUGGACCCGCGCCGUAUUAGCUAGUUGGUAAGGUAACGGCUUACCAAGGCGACGAUACGUAGCCGACCUGAGAGGGUGAUCGGCCACACUGGAACUGAGACACGGUCCAGACUCCUACGGGAGGCAGCAGUAGGGAAUCUUCCGCAAUGGGCGAAAGCCUGACGGAGCAACGCCGCGUGAGUGAUGAAGGUCUUCGGAUCGUAAAACUCUGUUGUUAGGGAAGAACAAAUUUGUUAGUAACUGAACAAGUCUUGACGGUACCUAACCAGAAAGCCACGGCUAACUACGUGCCAGCAGCCGCGGUAAUACGUAGGUGGCAAGCGUUAUCCGGAAUUAUUGGGCGUAAAGCGCGCGUAGGCGGUUUCUUAAGUCUGAUGUGAAAGCCCACGGCUCAACCGUGGAGGGUCAUUGGAAACUGGGAAACUUGAGUGCAGAAGAGGAGAGUGGAAUUCCAUGUGUAGCGGUGAAAUGCGCAGAGAUAUGGAGGAACACCAGUGGCGAAGGCGGCUCUCUGGUCUGUAACUGACGCUGAUGUGCGAAAGCGUGGGGAUCAAACAGGAUUAGAUACCCUGGUAGUCCACGCCGUAAACGAUGAGUGCUAAGUGUUAGGGGGUUUCCGCCCCUUAGUGCUGCAGCUAACGCAUUAAGCACUCCGCCU